UCUUCAGAUGUCCCCUUUCUUUUUGACAACAGUCAUGCCCAGGGAAAAAGCUGUGCCUCAGAGACGCCAGGAGUGUGGACCUCUCCCAGUGGAAAAAAAAAAACACUGAUGAAGAAGAUUUACGUGGAAAAAAAUUUUUUUUGUUUCUUUGAUUUUUAAGCUUUCUAAUGGUCUUUUUCUCCUUUCUCCCUUCUCAAGUUGAGAAAGAGAUGAAAGGUAGCAACAAAAUCUUGUAGGUUGGCUUCUUCGAUUCUUGUCUCUUUCACAUUCAAGUAACAGCACCACUCUGGACAAGGACAUUCACGGGAUUGUUAAUACGGCUUUGAAGAAGGAAAAUGGUGAGCACAAGCGAGCCAGCCAGGAGUCGAACCUAGAAUCUUCUGAUCCGUAGUCAGACGCGUUAUCCAUUGCGCCACUGGCCCGUGCCCAGAAAUCUCGCAAACGGCGUGAACACUAAGCUGAUUCCAGAAACGGUCGGGUUCUCUUCCUUCACUCACGAUGGUUGCCUGCUGGGAGCUCGCUUCGAACCCAGCUGAACGCUCAUUGCUGAGUCCUCGAAGAAGGUCGCGUUUGUACAGAAGGCUCCUGGCAGCGAGCCGGGCCGGGAGUCCCCCCAGUGCGCACGAAGCCGGGCCCCGAAUUCCCACUGGGAGGAACGCACUGGAAUUGAAAUGUCUAAGGUCAAGCCUCGCUGAGAAUCAAGUCCCAGAGGAUCUUCUCGGGUAGUGGAAACUUGAGGGGAAAAGGCGGUCACGAAAAUUCAAGUCUGUUAGUCCAAUACAGAUUAUCCAGGCCGCUGAGGGCAGGAA